UUUGUUCUUCUUCUUCGUCUUCUUCGUAU
rnacentral:sRNA from 1 species